CACAGUCUCAAAAGGGAAAGGAAAUGGAGGAAAAAAGUUAAAAGACUAAUUUGACAUAAUAGUUUCCUUAGCUUUUUUUUCCAACCCUUCCAAUUGAUCUCAAUCUAACAUACCCUCUCAAAAAGAAAUUCUCCUUUGUUUUUAUAUGUUUUUAUAGGACAGAGAGAGCAGUACCAUGUUUUAAGAGUGGAGGAGGUGGAAGAGUCUGAAGAGGCAGAGGAAAAAAAUCUUAGGAGAGAAAAUUCGGUGAGUUGAGGGAAAAUAAGUACGAAGGAGAUGUGAUAUUCAUUUUUUUGUUUUAAAAAAACAAAUGGUUAAAUUCAAAUUCAAAUCCACUUUCAAAAUAAAGUAGAUAAAUAAAAUAAAAAAGCAAAUAAAUAAAUAAUAAAUAAAUGACAAAAUAUUAUAUCUACGACCUCUAACCUUUAGAAGAUUACCCUUCCAUUAGAUCAAAAAAAUUGCUGGAGUUUAUUCUUACAACGCAAAAUUUAUAUCAAGAAAAAUUAAAUAAUGACGCAAAAACCGUGUCAUAAAAAAUUUCGCAUUUGUCAUUUUUAACGACACAUUUACUUUCACCCCACCCUUUUUUUAUUUUUAACGACACAAUAUUUUGAUUACUAGUGUCGUUAAAACCCAAAUUUGUACUAGUGAUAUUAUAUCACUGGAGAAUAUGUACGAGGCGUAACACUUUAUCUGAGUUAUACUUGUCCGUCCAUUCGUUAGAGCCUUGCAAGCAUGUGACACAAAAAUUUAUAGGCUGGUGGGCCUCGAGGCACGAUACCUAUUUUGAGGAUAACAGACACCAUUUGGUGAGUAGUGUCAUUCCUCCCCUUUCACAACCCAAACUGUCUAAGAACCGAGGGAGCAACUUGAAUGAUAAAGAAAUUUACUUGGUUGAGGCGAUGGAUGCUGCUCUCGAGGAGGAGAUAAAGGAGCAUAAAGAUGAGAGUGAAAGCAUCAAAAGUGAUCGUCAUUGGAAGAGACCUUUGAAGAAAGCGAAGGUAUCAAGUGAUGAUCUCGACGGAAGGGUUUCAAGUGCUUUGGGAGUCCCUGAUGUUCCACCACUGUCACCUUUGAACCAUCAUCUUGAAGGCCUUAUAGAGCAGUUGAUUCGACCAUUGAGAAAGUUGGUACCUCGAAGACUCCUGCCUCUAAACCAGCCAAACAGUCCUUACGUCCAUCUACUCUUCUCGAGGAGAUUCGUCGAGGCAAGAUGAUAGUGGUAGGAAAAGACAUUGGGAGUCCUUCAUCCAAAGGAGAUGCCUGUCCUAAAGCACCCUUACAGAAGAUAAAGCUCGUCAAUUAGACGAGAGGACAUCUGCCAUCAAGGAAGCUUUAACUUUGAUGGAACAAGUACGAGGGGAUGCCAAAGUUAUUCAAGAAAGAGCCACGCAGUUAUCUUUAGAAAAGAAGGAACUGAAAAGAAGACUUUAGAGGAUAAAUGUUGAGUCUGAACAACUGUCGAUCUUAUCUUGUGAGAAAGAAGAGGCCAUAAACCAGCAAGAACUAGAAGUUGCCAAGCUCCAAGAUGAAGUUAACACCCUUGAAAGCACCCUGUUAUUACUGAAGAAGUGAUUGAGGCCCUGGCUACGGUUCCCAGGAGCAUGGAAGCU